CAGAAAGUAGUUUAAUUUAAAAUAUUAAUUUUGGAGAUUAAUGAUAAAGAAAAUUCUUUUUUUCUGA
rnacentral:tRNA from 1 species